GAGUUCAGAAAAAAAGUUUGGAAUUUGCUUAACCAAAGUGCUUUAAAUUCAAGAAGUUUCUUUAAUGCAGCCGCAGUUUCUGAUUCCGAUUGGGGAUGUAAAUUAUGCACUCUGUUGAACCGUAUUCGGUUCCAUUCGUUCACGGCAUCUCGCCCUUCUUCCCUGUUUGUCUGAAGUAUCGCAAUUCUCAAGGGUCACAUAAAGUCCAAAUUAUUGAAUUCUUUAUAUCAUCCCUUGUGAUGGAAUAGGGUCAAAGAUUAUUGUUUUAAGUUUUUCGAGUCAUUUUGAUAACCCAAUGGUACACCCAAGUGGGUUGGAGAAUGGAGAGGAACUGUCCCGCGAAGGGUACAAUGAUCUUUUAUGUGAGCUUUGCAGAUGGGGAGAUGUUGCAGGGGUGGAGCCAGGAAAAUCUGACAGUGGGUCAAUAUUCCAAAAAAAUUCUUAAUCUUCUCCUUGUUUGUAAUCGAAGAUUGAAUAGGUAUUGCAACUGGAAAAUUAUUGGUGAUUGAUAGCUCUUAGGGAAGUGAUAUUGUGCUAAAAAUGUCUCGAUGUUCAAGAAUUAUGCGGAGAAGUUAUUGAAAAAUGUGUUUAGAACUCUAAUUUCUUUAGCAUUGGAUGGGAAUUAUCCACAUUUAUUGACCGGUGGUUAGUGAAAUUCUAGUGUUAAAAAGAGGGCAAAUUUAUAGUUUUAGUGGAUUGCUUCAUAAUUGGGGCAAUUUCAUUAAAAUAUUGUAAAAAUUAAACGAAUUUGAUAGGUAAAUGUGGAGUCAGUAGGGUCAAGUGACCCCGCUUGACCCGUGGUAGCUCCUCCGCCCAUGAAACGCUGACAAUGCCAUGUCAUUGCUCGCUCGAAUGGUGGUUGUGAGCUUUCGUCCAAACGCAACCGCUUACAUCUGCUUGAUUACAGCUUGUGGAAAUGUUGGGAGGACUUCGGAGGCUAAUGCGAUUUUGCAAGAUAUGAUCCGUUCAGGAUUUAAGCCUAGACUGAAUGCGUAUAAUGUUUUCUCAGAUGCUUCUUGAGAAAAAGCCUCUUACGGGUUGCAAGUAAGGUUCUAGUGGAAAUAUAUAAGGGUCGUUUACGUGGUGUUGGAAGUCAUGGUGCUUAGGACAUAAUCUUGAGUACUGCAUGUUUCAGUAGAGUGUUUGGGUUUCAUAACUAUUCGGCUUAAUCGCUCUAAGUAACGGUUUCAUUGAUUUGUCAAUUUAAUCAGUUCAUGAUUGAAAAGGUUUGUUCAUCUACUACUGUUAAUAUCUAGGGCAUACAAAGAUUAAGCUUAAUCGCCCUAAUUAACGGAUUGAUUUAGUUUUCGUUUUAAUCUAUUGAUUGGAAAUUUUGUUUCUGUUUUUGUUUUUGCUUAGAACGCAUCAGGUGCUGAUGCUACUGCUGGUGAUUUGAAUGUAUUUCAACUCAUUCAAUCUCACCAAGUACUUUCUUUGAUUAUACUCAUAACUUCAGGAAAAAGGUGUAGUGGUUGGUGUUUUAUGGGAACUGGCAUGUUGGUUGUGAUUGCAGGAGAAGGCUUUUAGGCUUGCCCCUGUUGAAGAAAUUCGAACUGUUCCCGAUCGCAGCUUGCGCGGCAUGCUUUUCUACUUUCUCGUAGGUUUUAUUAUGCACUAAGUAUUUCAUUAGUUUCUAACUUUAUUUGGGGUAAUGGGGGUUAAUAUUGUUUCAUCAAUUCCAAUAUCUUCGGCAAUAUUACUAGGUAUAAUAUAAUCUUAUACUAGUUUAGAUAGGUAUUGGCAAUACUAAUAAUUGUAGGGAUGCAGUUGAAUUUGGUUCUUAUUUGUCAUGAAAGGUACUGAAAUUGACUUGUAGAUUGAGGUUGUCAACAAUAUAUAGUGAAGUGGAUAAUAUAGCCAAUGAUGCAGUUGCAAGCCUUAAAUGCUUUCUUCUUCCAUCUGUGUUUUUUCAGUGGCAUCUUCCCUGAUAGCUCGGAUCAUUUCCAUGAAGCUUCUCACUAUGUAGCCUCCCUCUAUUCAACGUUAGUACUCUCACCAAAAUGGUAAAGCCUUUUCAGAUGUAUGACCUUUACAAAAUGUAAGUUACCAAUGCUUUUUCCAUUUUUUGUGCUUUUGUUUUAGUUGUGUGUUUUGAUGGUGUGCGCGUGAAUAAAUAAAUAUAAUUUUUUUUUUUUACCGAAGGAAAAAGUUUUGGUUGUGCGUAUUGUGUUUAGGUGGUUCUCACUUCUCUCAGGUUCUCUCCAUAAGGUUAGUAAUUCAUACGCCAAGAACCCAUAAGGUUUAUCAUGUUGUAGUGUUGGGUUGUCGGGUUUUCAGUUUUUUAUUGCUUAUGAUUGUAUGGCGGGUUUAUGUGUCUAACAUGGAAUCAAGUAUCUUUGAGUACCUUACAUUAUUUUGAUUUUCAUUCCUUAAGUUUCCUUUUCUCAGUCCACUGGUGUUUUGACCGGAGUAGUUGUUUGCCAUCUUGUUGGUACAAGGGUAUAUAAUCCACUGAUUUUGAGGAUCCAAUUGAUGCACAUUUUAAACCCGUAACUGAAGAUUUUGAUGAAAUGUCUAUGCUCAAUGAAAUGUUGAGAGUGAUUGUCAUUUCGAAUACCUAGAGAAAGCCAAGAAAUUAUGUAGACCCCGUCUAAUUUUUUUUGGUAAAAUUAUUGACCAGUUGGUUUAGUUGACGUGUCCAGCUUUGAUUUCCAAAAACUUAAACCUGUUUUUUUUAGCAAAAAAAAUUAAACCUGUUUGGUUGAUGAUUUUCUAUUCUUAAUGUCACUGAUUUUCCAGAAAAUAAACUAUUUGUUGAGAAAACCUCAAAAGAAACUUUUUAACAAAUUGUGAAGCCGAACCCAAACAAGAAGUGAUGCCAAUUCCAAGGAGAAAAACUCUGAGAUUCUGUCUGCUAUGCAUACGUUUUCCCUUUGGCCCGUAAAAUAUAAGCGAUGUGCUAUCAUACAAGGAUGAAUUUUGAUGGCCUUCAACAAUACUCCUGAAGUUGAUUGGAAUAUGAAACUGUUCAUCUACUUCUAGUUUAAUGCCUUCCCCUGUCCGCAGGUUCCAUAGAUGUUGAUUCUACUGAUGCGGAGAUAUAUGCUGCAACAACUGAUUUUUCGCCAAACAGUGGUUCAAACACAUUUAUCCGAAAGAGCGGAAGAAGCUUAUGGAAAAUAUCUGUGGCAGGUUGGAGGAAGAAAUCCAAAAGGAGGCAGAGGGAACAGAAGAUGAGGGGACUUAUGUGAGCAGUAGAUGAGUGGGGCAUGCUUUAGCCUUUAUGUUGCUAUAGGAGUUUUUCUUGGUAUUUUUACUUGAGGAGUGUUUUCUUUUCUCUCUCUUUUCAUGUUUUUUAUUUUACCAGAAAUAAAAUUGAUUUAUAUAUAAAAUGAAAAUACAAAGGACCGGAACUUCAUCGGUCCAAAAAUACAGAAACACAAGAAGUUGUGGUAGCAGAAAGGAUGUGAUGAAUGAUAAACCAAGACUUGUUCCCUUUGAUUGGAAAGUACUGUUCUUCAAUGUAUCUAUCUCUAUUGCUAAAA